rnacentral:piRNA from 1 species
UGCUUCUAGUUUAUCACGGCAUUGUUC